GGCUGGUCCAAAGGUGGUGAGUUAUCUCAAUUGGUUGUUCACAUUCAGUUACAGACCACACUCUUUAUUCUACUCUUUCCUCCUUUCUGACUUUACUAGUCGAAA
ensembl:misc_RNA Y_RNA Y RNA